rnacentral:lncRNA from 1 species
AAACUUUAAAAAGAGGCCCCCUUUCCCCUGAGCCUGACUCAUACUCCAUGCAUCAUAUAACCAGGCUUUGGAAAGGCUCUGAAGAAUGCACAUGGCAAUUGGAUCUAUUUUGUCCCAUCGUGGGAGUGAUAAAAGCAGAUAGUGAUCAUUCUAAGAUGCAAAACAAUGAACACACUCAAGCUGAUUUUGGAUUUGACCAUACACAUUUCUCAGAAGAGGGAGCUUUCCUGGAGAAGGUGAAGAAAGAGAAGGAUAUUUGGCAGUGCUGAUUGCCUCCCAAAGCAAGUCUCUUCCCUCUGGCAGCAGAGAAGCGGAUUUUCUGCUCAACCUGCUUUGAUCACCAAAUGAGUCAGGGAGAAGAACAUGGAUGGAAAUAUCCUCAGUCAAGAACUUCACAAGCACCAGUUGCUUUAACCAGGGGCUCUAGAAAUUUUCUAGAAUAAAUGCUUCUCAAUUUGUAGUCUGCUUUUUGGUCACUUCACAGAUCAUUGGUAUGGUUACUUGUGACAAUUUUGUCCUUUUUUUUUUUCUUUUGAGACAGAGUGUCACUCUGUCACCAGGCUAGAGUGCAGUGGCAUGAUCUUGGCUCACUGCAACCUCCGCCUCGUUGGUUCAAAUGAUUCUCCUACCUCAGCUUCCCGAGUAGUUGGGACUACAGGCAGGCACCACCACACCCAGCUAAUUUUUCUAUGUUUAGUAGAGACGGGGUUUCACCAUGUUGGUCAGGAUGGUCUCGAUCUCUUGACCUCGUGAUCCGCCUGCCUCGGCCUCCCAAAGAAUUUUGUCCUGUUUUAUACUUGCUUUAUGAAGAGAAGAUUUCUCUGACCUCAUGCUACCAUAGUUGGAAGUUUCCCCUAGAUCUGAAGAUAUAUUUUCAAUUUAUAAAUAUGUGCUUUUAAAGAUGUGCCUUCUACUUUCCUUCUUCUCUUUCUGCAUAUGAAUAUUUAUUUAAGAGUAUAAACAUAGUUUUUUAAAGAUCAUCUACGGUUUAUCUACUUUGUGCAUGAUCCACAGUGACUCCGUUCCUGAUAUUAUUGCCUAGUUAGGUCUCUUAACUCAGACAAAAGAAUUCUAACAAAAGUGCAUUACAGUUAAAGACAGGGAGUUUAAUAUGUAUAAAUUUAUGUGUGUCUAUAAUUUAAGAGCAAGUAAAAUUUAUUUGAUUUGUGUUAUCUGUUAUGUCAUAAUUCACCUUUUAACUGUCAGAAAACAGCUUUUUCUGCUUCACUUCUACCUGGAAAAGCGUUCUUGGGAAAGUGCACUUGGUGAGGGUACCUUAGGAAAAUUUGAUACCCAAAUAAAAUGUUUUUUAAGCACUGUACAAA